UACGGAGGGAGCUAGCGUUGUUCGGAAUUACUGGGCGUAAAGCGCACGUAGGCGGCUUUGUAAGUUAGAGGUGAAAGCCCGGGGCUCAACUCCGGAACUGCCUUUAAGACUGCAUCGCUUGAAUCCAGGAGAGGUGAGUGGAAUUCCGAGUGUAGAGGUGAAAUUCGUAGAUAUUCGGAAGAACACCAGUGGCGAAGGCGGCUCACUGGACUGGUAUUGACGCUGAGGUGCGAAAGCGUGGGGAGCAACAGG
rnacentral:rRNA from 1 species